ensembl:snoRNA
CAGCAUGUUUCCAAGGGCUGUGGCCGGUUGUGGCCAUGGGUUCUCCAACUGCAUGCGAGAGCAACCUGGAGAGACUUUGACAGCACAGGUCAGCAUCAUACCUGCAGCUGCCACUCGACUUUCCUAUAACA